rnacentral:rRNA from 1 species
UACGAAGGGGGCUAGCGUUUGUUCGGAAUUACUGGGCGUAAAGCGCACGUAGGCGGAUAUUUAAGUCAGGGGUGAAAUCCCGGGGCUCAACCCCGGAACUGCCUUUGAUACUGGGUAUCUAGAGUCCAGAAGAGGUGAGUGGAAUUCCGAGUGUAGAGGUGAAAUUCGUAGAUAUUCGGAGGAACACCAGUGGCGAAGGCGGCUCACUGGUCUGGUACUGACGCUGAGGUGCGAAAAGCGUGGGGAGCAAACAGG